AACCCCCAAUCCCAAAUUGAUACACAGAUGCUUGUUAUUACUUAUAAAUGCCUGGCUUUUACUUGGCUUAUUUCUAUCCAAUUUUUCUAAAGAGGUUCAAAGUCGAUCAGACACUGUCAUAAUUCUGACCAUAAAUGAUGCUGACUGUGGAUGCAGCGGCAUUAUUCCCUUGAUCCCCAGGCAGCUUUCCGGAAACCUAAGUUUUGGGUUCUGGGGGGAAUAUGGUUGCAAAGCAGAAACUUAAAGUAAUUGAUGGAAGGGCACCACUAGGAGUGGAGCCUGUGGCUUAAUUUGACUCAACACGGGAAACCUCACCCAGUCUGGAUGUGGACACGACUGACAGAUUAAUAGUUCUUUCUCGAUUCCAUAGGUGGUGGUGCAUGGCUGUUCUUAGUUGGUGGAGUGAUUUGUCUGGUUAGUUCUGUUAAGGAAGGAGACUCUGGCAUGCUAACUAUUUAAGUGACCCCGAGCUGUCAGCAUCCCCCCCCAACUUCUUAGAGGGACAAGUGGCAUUCAACCACACAAUUGAGAAAUAACAGGUCUGUGAUGCCCUUAGAUGUUGGGGCUGCACACACACUACACUGACUAUGUGCCUACUUUAUGCUGGCAGGGACAUAAACAAAAGCAAAAUAUAGGUACUUCAUUAAACAAAUAUUUUAUAGCAUAAAAUUAAUACACUUUAAAAUAAUGUUCUACAGAAAUAUACAUGUACAAUAUUAUCAGUAUCAUGCAUUCAGUUCAACACAUGGAUGUGAUAUUUUAGAAUGUCCUGACCUAUGAUGAUGUGCAUAUCGACUUCACUUGUGAAGAGUGGACUUUGCUGGAUACUUCUCAGAAGAAUCUCUACAAAGAUGUGAUGCUGGAGACCUACAAGAACCUCAAUGAUAUAGGUAAGAGUUUGUACACACAGCCCACUACUACAAUUGGAUGGUUUAGUGAGGCCCUCGAAUUGGGCCUACCGGGGUCUGCACAUGGCCCUGGCUUAGUGCUGAGAAGACAAUCAAACUUGACUACCUAGAGGAAGUAAAAGUUGCAAGGAUCUGGCUUAGUUAUGAGAAGACAAUCAAAC
rnacentral:ncRNA from 1 species